rnacentral:rRNA from 1 species
GAUGAACGCUAGCGAUAGGCUUAACACAUGCAAGUCGAGGGGCAGCACAAGGUAGCUUGCUAUCUGGGUGGCGACCGGCGCACGGGUGCGUAACGCGUAUGCAACUUGCCCUAUACAGGAGGAUAACCCGUCGAAAGACGGACUAAUACUGCGUAUGCUCACAACUUGGCAUCAAGUGGUGAGGAAAGAAAUUCGGUAUAGGAUAGGCAUGCGUCCCAUUAGCUUGUUGGUGAGGUAACGGCUCACCAAGGCAACGAUGGGUAGGGGAACUGAGAGGUUUAUCCCCCACACUGGUACUGAGACACGGACCAGACUCCUACGGGAGGCAGCAGUGAGGAAUAUUGGUCAAUGGGUGCGAGCCUGAACCAGCCAAGUCGCGUGAAGGAUGACUGUCUUAUGGAUUGUAAACUUCUUUUAUACGGGAAUAACAAGAGUCACGUGUGACUCCCUGCAUGUACCGUAUGAAUAAGCAUCGGCUAACUCCGUG